GUACUCGCAUAAGCGAUACAUAUACUAAAAUUGGAACGGUACAGAGAUGUUUAGCAUAGCCUCUGCGCCAGGUUAACACACAAAAUCGUAAAACGUUCCACAUUUUU